GUUUGCGGAACCUGAGUGCUGGGCUGC
rnacentral:piRNA from 1 species